rnacentral:rRNA from 1 species
CCUACGGGUGGCAGCAGUGAGGAAUAUUGGUCAAUGGUAGUGAGCCUGAACCAGCCAAGCAGCGUGCAGGAAGACGGCCCUAUGGGUUGUAAACUUCUUUUGUCCGGGAAUAAAAUCCGUGACGAGUCAUGUACUGCGGGUACCCGAAGAAAAAGCACCGGCUAAUUCCGUGCCAGCAGCCGCGGUAAUACGGAGGAUGCGGGGGUUAUCCGGAUUUAUUUGGUUUAAAGGGAGCGUAGGCGGUCUGUUAAGUGAGCGGUAAAAUGGCGGGGCUCAACCACGUCGAGCGGUUGAAACUGGCAGGCUUGAGUUGGCGGGAAGUACGCGGAAUGCGCGGUGUAGCGGUGAAAUGCAUAGAUAUCGCGAAGAACUCCGAGUGCGAAGGCAGCAUACGGGCGCCAGACUGACGCUGAGGCACGAAGGCGUGGGGAUCGAACAGGAUUAGAUACCCUGGUAGUC